GAUGAACGCUGGCGGCGUGCCUAAUACAUGCAAGUCGAGCGAACAGACGAGGAGCUUGCUCCUCUGACGUUAGCGGCGGACGGGUGAGUAACACGUGGAUAACCUACCUAUAAGACUGGGAUAACUUCGGGAAACCGGAGCUAAUACCGGAUAAUAUAUUGAACCGCAUGGUUCAAUAGUGAAAGACGGUUUUGCUGUUACUUAUAGAUGGAUCCGCGCCGCAUUAGCUAGUUGGUAAGGUAACGGCUUACCAAGGCAACGAUGCGUAGCCGACCUGAGAGGGUGAUCGGCCACACUGGAACUGAGACACGGUCCAGACUCCUACGGGAGGCAGCAGUAGGGAAUCUUCCGCAAAGGGCGAAAGCCUGACGGAGCAACGCCGCGUGAGUGAUGAAGGUCUUCGGAUCGUAAAACUCUGUUAGUAGGGAAGAACAAAUGUGUAAGUAACUAGGCACGUCUUGACGGUACCUAAUCAGAAAGCCACGGCUAACUACGUG
rnacentral:rRNA from 1 species